rnacentral:rRNA from 1 species
UACGUAGGGCGCAAGCGUUGUCCGGAAUUAUUGGGCGUAAAGAGCGCGCAGGCGGUAUGACAAGUCAGAUGUGAAAGAGGCCGGCUUAACCGGCAAGGGUCAUUUGAAACUGUCAGACUAGAGUGCAGCAGAGGAUAGUGGAAUUCCCGGUGUAGUGGUGAAAUGCGUAGAUAUCGGGAGGAACACCAGUGGCGAAGGCGACUAUCUGGGCUGCAACUGACGCUGAGGCGCGAAAGCGUGGGGAGCGAACAGG